rnacentral:rRNA from 1 species
UACGUAGGGUGCAAGCGUUAAUCGGAAUUACUGGGCGUAAAGCGUGCGCAGGCGGUGAUGUAAGACAGAUGUGAAAUCCCCGGGCUCAACCUGGGAACUGCAUUUGUGACUGCAAGGCUGGAGUGCGGCAGAGGGGGAUGGAAUUCCGCGUGUAGCAGUGAAAUGCGUAGAUAUGCGGAGGAACACCGAUGGCGAAGGCAAUCCCGUGGGCCUGCACUGACGCUCAUGCACGAAAGCGUGGGGAGCAAACAGG